rnacentral:tRNA from 1 species
GCCUGGGUGGCUCAGUCGGUUGAGCACCUGACUUUGGCUCAGGUCAUGAUCUCACAGCUCUGUGGGUUCGAGCCCCACAUUGGGCU